rnacentral:rRNA from 1 species
GACGAACGCUGGCGGCGUGCCUAAUACAUGCAAGUUGAGCGCUGAAGGUUGGUACUUGUACCAACUGGAUGAGCAGCGAACGGGUGAGUAACGCGUGGGGAAUCUGCCUUUGAGCGGGGGACAACAUUUGGAAACGAAUGCUAAUACCGCAUAAAAACUUUAAACACAAGUUUUAAGUUUGAAAGAUGCAAUUGCAUCACUCAAAGAUGAUCCCGCGUUGUAUUAGCUUGUUGGUGAGGUAAAGGCUCACCAAGGCGAUGAUACAUAGCCGACCUGAGAGGGUGAUCGGCCACAUUGGGACUGAGACACGGCCCAAACUCCUACGGGAGGCAGCAGUAGGGAAUCUUCGGCAAUGGACGAAAGUCUGACCGAGCAACGCCGCGUGAGUGAAGAAGGGCUUCGGAUCGUAAAACUCUGUUGGUAGAGAAGAACGUUGGUGAGAGUGGAAAGCUCAUCAAGUGACGGUAACUACCCAGAAAGGGACGGCUAACUACGUG